UACGAAGGGGGCUAGCGUUGCUCGGAAUUACUGGGCGUAAAGGGCGCGUAGGCGGCACUGUUAGUCAGGCGUGAAAUUCCUGGGCUCAACCUGGGGACUGCGCUUGAUACGGCAGAGCUAGAGGAUGGAAGAGGCUCGCGGAAUUCCCAGUGUAGAGGUGAAAUUCGUAGAUAUCGGGAGGAACACCAGUGGCGAAGGCGGCGAUCUGGGAACAUACUGACGCUGAGGUGCGAAAGCGUGGGGAGCAAACAGG
rnacentral:rRNA from 1 species